GUUAGAUUCGCGAGUUUCCGACGCUGAAUGUCGCUUAAAAGAUGCUUUUCUCCUCUGCGAAAGUACUCGUUCGAAAAUUCCCAUCGAUCAGGUACUACUUUGCGGAAUCCCUGUCAAUUAAAUCGGCAAAGAGUAUUCAGGUGUUAAGUUGACGAACAAAACUGGAGAAAUUAUUAUGCUUAAAAUAUCUGGGAAGCAAAUCUCGCGCAAAUUCACUGGGAUUCCACACAACAAAGGUAGAUCCGUCUUCGUUCCACGAGAUGAUAUCAUCGAUUGCCCCAUCGUCAACAAGCUGGUACGUCUUAUUCAGAAACGGCGUCGGAAGAGACCUGGCCGCCUCGGCCACCGUGGAUUCUCCGCCACUACGCUCUGGCGGAGCCAUAAUAGAACAGUAAACUAACUAGAGAUUCCGGUUCAAGUAAUUAGGGAAGAUGUGGCGAGUGAUUUGGGAGGAUUAGGAAGCAUAAUUAUGGUGAUUAUUCUAGAAAGUUCUUGAAAUAAGAGUGAGAUGAAAUGGAGAGAAAAGAGGAAAUAGAAUAAUGUGGAAGAGAGGAGAGGAGGAAAGGGAAGGGAAAGAACGAGAAGAUACUAGUUGAGGUUUUUUCUAGAACUUGCUUUUUCAACGGACGACGUGGCAGUGGAUAAGAGGUUGGGACAUUAUUGAAUGCUUUCCUAUGUGCCGCACUAAAGUGGUAAUACAACAGUGGUUUCUUGUAUUCACAUGUAUGAAUGGUUUACGAAAAUGGAAUGCAGAGUA